rnacentral:misc_RNA from 1 species
UAAUAAGUGUUUAAUGGCACUUUUUAAAUCCAUAUCCACCUUGUGUGCAAUGUCAGUCGAUCUUCUUCAUGGAGAUCGACCAAACAUCAACCUUUAUCUUUUAACUCUUUGUCUGAAAAAUAUUAUGAAUAAACAAUUCAAAAUA